rnacentral:tRNA from 1 species
GCCCGUGUGGUUCAGCGGUUGAGCGCCGACCUAUGAACUAGGAGGUCAGGGUUUGAUUCCCUGUCAGGGCA